AAUCCGUGGUGUGGGCAAUCUCUCAUUCAUUUUUUAUAUCUCUCUCAUGCUUCAAAAAGAGAUUCACUGUCCAUCUACCUGAAGCAGAUAAUUUGGUUACUAAAUGU
rfam:Medicago truncatula strain A17 chromosome 1, whole genome shotgun sequence.